rnacentral:rRNA from 1 species
GACGAACGCUGGCGGCGUGCUUAACACAUGCAAGUCGAACGUGAUUUUUGUGGAAAUUCUUUCGGGAAUGGAAAUGAAAUGAAAGUGGCGAACGGGUGAGUAACACGUGAGCAACCUACCUUACACAGGGGGAUAGCCGUUGGAAACGACGAUUAAUACCGCAUGAGACCACAGAAUCGCAUGAUAUAGGGGUCAAAGAUUUAUCGGUGUAAGAAGGGCUCGCGUCUGAUUAGCUAGUUGGAAGGGUAAAGGCCUACCAAGGCGACGAUCAGUAGCCGGUCUGAGAGGAUGAACGGCCACAUUGGAACUGAGACACGGUCCAAACUCCUACGGGAGGCAGCAGUGGGGAAUAUUGCACAAUGGGGGGAACCCUGAUGCAGCGACGCCGCGUGAGCGAAGAAGGUUUUCGAAUCGUAAAGCUCUGUCCUAUGAGAAGAUAAUAACGGUAUCAUAGGAGGAAGCCCCGGCUAAAUACGUG